UCAAAUUCGCUCAUUUUCUCAUGCCCUCUCUGUCACAUUCGUAGCUCGAUCUCCCUCUUCUGGGACAUAGCGUUCUGAGCAUGCGGUUUUUGCAACGGCCAUUUCGUACCGCUUCGAUCUCAUCACCUUCUCUCCCCUCGCACCUUCCUUUUUGAUCCUCGCUUUGGGGCUUGCAAAUUUUUGACAUGUCAAAUUAGAGUGACGCCAAAAUGUAAACAGCAAGUGUUUGCGUGUGCGGUGAUUUUGUAAGUGUUUUAUGCAAAUUUUAUGAUAUUUAUCAUUAAAAACGCUUUGUUUUGUAGAAUAAACAUAAAAUCAACCACGGAAGCAUGAUUUAGUUGUGGUGAAAGCGAAAAAACAAUGCUUGGAGCAUGGAAUAAAGCCGAAUGAAAUUUCUAACCUUCACGCACGACGCCGCCGCUAGGUAAGGUAUGUUUAUGUGUAAUUACGAUCAUUGUUCCAUUUUAGGGUGUGAUUUGUGCAAUAUAACCGUUCCUGGCGGGGAUAGUCAAUAGUCGAUACCCUUUGCAGCUGUGAAGGGGUGCAGAAGAAGGGGCUCGUUAUCACCCUUCCCACACCCGGACGCUUUUUCCACGGAUGAAGAAUAUGUUCCUGGCUGUAUGCGCCAAAUCUAACGGUGAUCCGUAUCGUGAACGAAUCGGCAUAAUCGGUGCCGGUCCCCGGCGGUUUGUGAAAGUGGUGGUACACAACGGUAUAGAGUACGAUAGAUAACAUGCAACUGAUCUGCGAAGUGCGCCACCUGAUGCUGGCGUUCGGCAAGACACAGAAGGAGAUGGCAUAGGAGUUCAACGUGUGGAAAAAGGACGUGCUAGAUUUGUUCCAGAUCGAGGACCGCGACGAUGAGGGAUAGUUGCUGGAGCUAAUUAGUGACAUAGCCAGAAGGGUACGGGCAAGUUGUCGGGGAUUGCCGCCCAGCGCCAUGCCGUUGUGGUGUUGCGAAUUGGUGAGCGGUCUUUUCCCGCUGCUUAUCUGCUCUGAAGGAUAGCCGUGCUUGGGCCAACUAUCAACUAGCUGGACCCAGCACGAAAUGGACCGCGCAAGGCUUCAUAUUGCUGCGCCAAGCGGCCAACGACUUAAAGUAGGACGUGAACUACGGUGGCAUUGCGCUGAUGGCAUAGCGGUUACAUAAUGUUUAGCAGUAUCAUCAGCAACGUGUUCCUCGGCAACAUUCGGCAUGCGUUUGUGCACAAUCCGCAUCUUUCUAUCCAUCUUAUGAUGCGUUUUCCUCUGAAGCUGUGAAACGGUUGCCAAAUGGACUGGAAUAUUUUAUAGUACUGGAGUAUUUGGCCUUAAACGUACUAGUAAAUUGAAUUAUUAAAAAAAGACAUCAAAACAGUACACUGUUGCCUCGAGUCGAGUACAAGCACCGAUUUGAAAAAAAAAAUGCGCCUUAAGAGCCUUAUUGUCAUAUGGAGCAGGACGACCACGACGAACGGCUUUGCUUGCUUGCACUUAAACAUACACACCUUUGGGUUGUAUGAGUCCUGUAUAGCCUGAUUUGUGUAAAAGUAGAUGGUCGAGCUAGCUGUGGCCACACGUCCUCACUAGCGAUUCUUAGAUUAAAAGCGGUUGAUGAAGCUCUUAUACACCUCGAAAUUGAUUAACGCAUGAUACAAAAGUAAGCAAGUCCUUGGCUUACAGAGCAUUAAUAUGUGCCAUUGGAUGUCCUUGGUUGGGAUCUUCGUAGGCUAGAAACCCGCUUUUGUUGACGAUAUAGGGCGGUAUUGAUUCCGAGCCAAUCCAACGGAAUAUAUGCCUAUGGUUGUUGCAGAGCGGGUUUUAACGCAGCGAUGUUGUUGAUAUAUCGGCCGAUUUAUUCAACAGAAGGAGGAACAACGAUAUGACGCCAACGCACAAUAGCUUUUCAAUAAAAUGUACACACACGAA